UGUUCUAAUGAUGCGUUACAUCAAUUACAUUCAGUUUAAGUACGAUGAGUUUGUGUGGUUAAGUAGGCGGAGGACUUUUCAAUCCUCCGUCUCACAAGUGCACAGGUGUGUGUGGAUGAAGAAGAGAAGGCGUGCACAUGCUCUGGGGCCAGCGACAACCAACUCUAGAUUCAAUAAUGAUCCUUCCGCAGGUUCACCUACGGAAA
rnacentral:misc_RNA from 1 species